UGAUCAACUCAUCGUUCAAUUUAUUUAUUAACUGACGAGAUGUUUCUGUGUACAUGUGAACGAUACGAAAAUUUAGUUAUGCGGGAUGACAGUGGAGAGUCUACGUAAAACCGGGAGGAUGAACUGCCGAUGCCGGGACUAUAACGUGGGUCGUCGUAGAUUAUAGAGCUGCAACAGUGUGAAUAUCGGGAGGUAUGGGGAUUUUUCAACUGAUCAACUUUCAUGAGUUGUUUAUCAAGGUAUUAGGAAGCGAAUGCGAAGUAUCGAAAAUUUUCUUUUGGAUUCAUUACUUCUCAAUUUCAAUAUGGCUGUCAAAUAACGAUAUAAACUAACCAAGUUGACUAUGUGCCUACCAGAUGUCGCUAGUAGAUAUUGAGACUGGUUAGGUUGUGACAAUUUUUUACAAUUUCGGCAAACUCAAACAAAGAACAAACUCAUACAGCAGA